CCCAUCUUGUGUCAUCUCAGUCUUCUUACGCGUGUAAAAAACAGGCCACGCUCACCUUUUAUCCCCACCGCCACACAAAACUCAGUUAAUUACCAACCCUAAAAACCAGAACAAAGGAAGUCGGUGGUGUGCGUCGCGUAACCCAGAAUAUGGACAGCCGGAGGCGGUGGAGGGUGGAGGGGAUGAAGGAAGCGGAGGAGUUGUCGGCGGGAGUUUGGGAAUAACGGAAAUGCCUCUGGUGACUGUCCGUCGUCGUUCUUCAUAAUGUUUGAUUUUUUCGUUUAGGUGCACUUGAUGAUUUCCAUUGAUUGUGGUUGGAGAAAGGGUUGCACUGAUGCAGAGCUCAAGAAUGCUUAUAAGAAGCUUUCACUGAGAUGGAACCCAGAUUGUUGUUCUGUAUCAGGAAACUUAAACAUGUGGAAGAAGCAAAGAAUAAGUUUCAGGCGAUAAAAGAAGCCUAUUCUGGGUGAAAUUCGAGCGAGGAUGAUUCACUUUCUAAAUAGGGCUGCAACUGUGCUUCCUAUAAUUGUGGAGGAUGUUGCAAGAAGUGGAGUUGAAAUUGAGAUGGCUUUGGAGAACUGGGAAGUGUAUAGAGAACAUAAGUUUAGUUAUUUUGUAACAUUAUAUGCUGGCGGCUAGACGGCAAGUUAGAUAUGACGAUGGAAACGAUCAAGAAUAUGGACACACCGAAAAGAUAGCAAUUCUGGAAUUCUACACUCAGGUUGCUUAGGAAGAAGUUGAGCUUCUCAUCUCCAAGUGCCUUGGACUGCUUGGGAUUAUUAGAAUUUAGGAAUUUUUGUUUGUUUUAUAUGAUGGUUGAGUUUGGGGAAGUGAGGUGGCUUCAGUUUUGUGCCGGAGAUUUGCUAACCAGUGUCAGGGGUGUUUUCAUUGGUUGACAGAGAUGGCGUUUGCAAUCACAUUCUUCCAUGUGCAGCUCCCAAAUCACGCCAAAUCCUGCCUAUUUUCGGUGGUCAAAAGCAGGGAGUGGAUGGCGAGGUCGUUUUUAAGAAAAAUUGAGAUGAUGCUACUAGAUGAAGUUACAAGUGUACUAGAUGCAGAGCCAGAGAAAUGCAUUCAAGGGGCUCUCGAGCGUGUCUGCUCAGGGAAAACGACGUUUUUUGUAGCACAAAAAUUAUCAACUAUACGAAAGGCUCAUGUAAUGGCAAUGAUUGAUGAUGGGAAAGUGGCUGAACAAGGGUCUCACUCGCAUCUGCUGAAGAAAGUCAGAAACUACUUUGCGAAAAAGUUGCAGUUGCAAACAUUCUCACACAGGGAGGAUGCGAAUUGGGGUUUGGGUUCGAGUUUUAAACACCAGACAGACGGGUAGCGAGUUAAAACUAAUUGUAUACUUAUGUAUAACUUCUACCAAGAAUGUUUUAAGGAAUCCACACUCCACAGUUCCAUUGCAUGCAUUUUAAUUUGUUUAAAAAUGUACAUCCAAGAGUUAGCUAGAUUUAAUUGUUUUUUCAACUAGAAAUUAUACUACUAAAUGUUGUACCGUUAUCAUAGCCUUUUGGUAUCGGUACCCAUUUUUCCUGUUUCUCGGGACCGGUACUCUGGGUACCGGUUU